GACGAACGCUGGCGGCGUGCUUAACACAUGCAAGUCGAACGGAAAGGCCCGGCGCUUGUUGGUUGCUCGUUUGCCGAACGGGUGAGUGACACGUGUGUAUCCUGUCCUUGUCUUUGGGGUAAAUUCUCGGAACAGGGGCGCUUAUCCGGUAGAAUCUCCUGAUGCGUGGUGGGGGAUAGAGAGAGUCGGCGGUUGGGGAUGGACUAGAGGCUUAUCAGCUUGAUUGUGGGGUAGUGGAUUACCAAGGCUUUGACGGCUAGCCGGCGUGAGAGGGUGAACGGCCACAUUGGGACUGCGAUACGGCCCAGACUCCUACGGGAGGCAGCAGUGGAGAAUAUGGCACAAUGGGCGGAAGCCUGAUGCAGCAACGUCGCGUGCGGGAUGACGGCCUUCGGGUUGUAAACCGAUUUCGCAUGUGACGAAGCGUGAGUGACGGUAAUGGGUAAAGAAGCACCGGCUAACUACGUG
rnacentral:rRNA from 1 species